UACGUAGGGUGCGAGCGUUAAUCGGAAUUACUGGGCGUAAAGCGUGCGCAGGCGGUUCGCUAAGACAGAUGUGAAAUCCCCGGGCUCAACCUGGGAAUUGCAUUUGUGACUGCCCGACUAGAGUGUGUCAGAGGGGGGUAGAAUUCCACGUGUAGCAGUGAAAUGCGUAGAGAUGUGGAGGAAUACCGAUGGCGAAGGCAGCCCCCUGGGAUAACACUGACGCUCAUGCACGAAAGCGUGGGGAGCAAACAGG
rnacentral:rRNA from 1 species